UUAGUGUGUCUUCUUAAUUUUGUUAUCUCCUGUGCUUGUUACUACUCCAUCCCAUUUUAGCGGUAGCUUUAGCUUAAAAAGGGUGUCCUAAGAUAACUAUCACUUUCAAAAUUGAAGAUUGAAGUUGACAAUUAUUUUAAUUAUAUCCUUGAUAUUAAAAAAAUAGUUUCUCUCAAUAAAAUUAAUGAAUUCUCAAAAAAUUUCUAUUAAAGAGGAAUAACUUAGUAAACUACAUCUCAUUUUUAUUGAUUUUCUUAAUGAGCAAGGAAAGAGCUAAAACUAUAAACUAUAGUUAAAGUGGAGCAGAGAAGAAAAAAACAAAAAAAAAAUAGGGACUCAUCCUUAGCUAAAUACACCUAGUGGAAGUGAGGAUAUUUUAAGAUCCAAUAUAGGGACUCCUCCAAUAGAUGGCUUUGAAAUUCUACAACAUAAUUGUAGUUGGUCGCGGUGAUCCUAUAUCCGACUGCAUGAAAACAUAUAGGGGCACUAAGUUUAUGCUCAUCCCGAAUUCACAAAGUGCUUUUCCAACUCAACAUCACCAAUUCUCAUUGAAGUAGUAAACUACCUAGAUUCUUCAACUGGUUGGGUAGCUUCUUGUCAAUUCUCAGAGAGCACUCUUUAGUAAGAUAUGAAAUAUGGUCUCAAACUCUGUCACUCUUCUCUUGUUUAUCACUAUAUCUUUAAUGAACUUAUUGCAUUUUAGAACUUCACUUAGUACAUCUACCAGUGGUAUAUUUAGUUGGGUCUGACUUAAUAUUUAGAGGAAUUUUCUCAACAUCCACUUAUCAUUCUUUUAUAACAGUCUCUUUGGGAGAGAGGGUGUAGGUUUAUCAAGUUAUAUCUAUUCAACAUUCUUGCAUUUUUAGGAGAUUCUCUUAUGGACUAGGGAUGAACUCCCCCUUAAGCGUGAAAUUCUCUUUCAUCUUCCUUGGAACCUCUUGCAAUUCUCUACCAUUUUUCAAAGUAUACAUAUGGUUUUAUUUUUACCAUAACAUAGCAAGGCUCCAGCAGGUCCAAUGUUUUUCCUUGCCGGUAGUUGCCUAAACUGCUUCUCUAACUUUUGGAUAUUUUCCCAUAGAUUCAAUUAUGAAGCUAUAAUUUUGUCUACCAUUUCAUCUAUGUUCUCUAUCUCCAUGUCAAAUUAGAUCGUUAAUAGUGAAAUCAUUUAGCAAGGUUUGGAUUUCUCAAUUAGGCUUAUACAUAAUACAACUACCACACAAGAUGAAUCAAGAUUCAUCUAAACCAUUAACAAAGGUAUGUCCCAAACCCCAUCCAUCCGCAAAUAAUAGGGAAAAUCCUUAAACAGCUUUUGGUAGCGCUUCUAUGAUUGAUUAUCUAACUUCAUAGUGAUUUUGAAUUAAUAGAUAGGAAGAAUUUAGAAUACUUCUCAUGUUCUGAUUGAACUAGUUGGCUACUUGUUUGACCAUUCUUUUGCUUUCCCUAAUAGUUAAAAGCGAAACAAAGUAAACUGAUAUAUCCUUAGAGAUAUUAGGCGAUUUGUGGUUGACAUUAAUAUUUAGAAAAUUCAAGAUGUGAAAUUGAGGAUCAUGUGACAGACUUACAAACUGCCCCUAAGAUUGUAUGAGCGCACCAUUUAUUGCUCCAGCUUACAGUGUCUUUGAAUGCUAGGUUUGAUGAUAGUUUAAGCUAUAUUUGCCCUGAUUUUCCCUCUAUACCCAAAAUAGAUUAACGGACUUCAUUGUGAUACUCCUCUUCUCACCAAUGAGAAGCAUAUAGAUCUAGCCAAUUGAUGAACACUCAAAUAAACUUACCUAUUUUUAUAGGCACAGGGAUGUGGGUACCCAUCAGAGUAAUUAAUUAUUUUUUUGAUCUUCGUCAAGCAAGCCAACUGUAUAGUGCAUGGGCCUUGUAUCCUUAAUCGUUUGUCAUACUUGAUUAGGCACUAUUCUGAUUCUUUUAAUCAAAGAUGCCAAAGCCUUAAAAUUAUGUAAAAAUAAAAGUCCAGGUUAUAAAAACAAGGCUAAAAGGUUUGAAGAGAUGGAUUAGGCUCAAUGGAGGCCCAACAUGACUCAGUACAAAACAGGAAAAAUUUCAGAAAUAGCAACUGUAGAGCCUUAAUUAUAACUUUUGUAGUAAUAGUUUUAAAAUUACGAAAAAUAGCAAUAUGUAUUUUGUAUUUUAGUAAACGGUUGCUAUAAAAAUACACAUACAAAUAGGGUAUUCAUUCCUUAUUUAACUCUAAAAUAAGGAAUGAAACCGUUCCGUAUUUGUAGCCACCUUUUAUGACUCUUUUAAUUUUACCUUAACCAUUAAAAUACAUCAACUUAAUUCAAAAACUUUUUCCAUAAACAGUAACUCAAAAUCAAAUUAAAAAUAAAAUAAAAUUGGGUGAUUCCAAUAUCAUUGGGCAACGUUUCUGAAAUUGACGAAAUAUAAUUGACAAAAAAAAUUCACGUCAUUUACAGGCCAUAUAGUUCUAUUGGCAUAUGGUGUACAUGAUUCUGAAAAUGAUGCAUCUUGGACUUGGUUCUUUGAGAUUCUAAAAGAAGAAUGCGGUGAAAGAAACUGUCUUGAGAACGUAUGAUCUUCUAAUUUAUCCUCUACCACAUAAAGAUGACUGGGUAAAAUCACAGAAAAUAUUGGAGGAGGUAGUUUUGCCCCCAAAACACAAGCGGCCCUCUAGAAGACCUCCAAAGAAGGAUCAUGAAAAAUUCGGAAGAGAUAUGUUUGAAAAGAAAAUAAAAAUUGCUGUAGUUCAUGUGGGCUUAAAGGUCACAAUAGUCGUUCAUAUAGGAAAUACAACAAAUGAAAAGUUUGUUGAUAUAUUUAAUCAAAAAAUAAUUGUUGAAUUUUUUCAUUGAGAAUUAUGUUUUUCUAAAUUUUGAACUUGUUAUUGAACUUAUUAUUGAACUUGUUAUAGUUUUAA